rnacentral:lncRNA from 10 species
GUCGACUACCAGGCUGCGUUAGGAGCUACCGUCUUCAGCUUUUUCUCGCUGCUGAGAGCUGUUUUGUUACUCAGUAAAACUCUUCUCCACCGUGCUCACCCUUCAGUUGACCGUGCAACUUCAUUCUUCCUGGACAUAAACCCGGGACCCACAGAACAGCGGGUGCAAAAAGGGCUGUAACGCUUUCCUGGCCGGAUCGCCAAGCUGCAGGGGUUUAGAUAGCUCAUGGUUCUGCUGGUUAGGAAGUUCAAGCGCAAGGCCCUGACUUCUGGUAAGUGCUUUCAUGCUGCAUCAACACGACUAAGAAGGUCAAAGAAGAAGUGGACAUCUUUCAACUGAUGGACUGUACAGAGAGAGGAGCACUUUUGGAAUAAUCCUCACAGCCUAAAGGCCAAUGAUGACACAGAUGGUGAUGUUUUUAAGGAGGUGAUUGAUAGAAGAUAUUUGAUCCCUUUGGUUUGGAGUCUACCAACUGAGAUAAAGGAGAAGAGCUGAGAAGCCUUGUAACAUUAGUAUUCUUUGUCUCUUUGUGGAUGACCCUUUCACAUUAAUAUCGACAUCAGAAACUGAAUUCAAGAAAAGAAAGGGAGAGUCACACAUUCUUUCAAUAAUCCUUUGUCAGUGAACAUUUGAGCACCAUAGGAAGCCAAAUCAGACAUCACUUAAAAUAGUUUUUGGGUCAAGAUUACAAAAAAAAGGAAGACAGGAAAGAACAGUGGAAUCAGCAGGAAUGUGUCCCCUAAAGUCCCUUAAACUAAGUUGGAACACAACCCAGAG